AAUUUUGAGCUUAAAGGCCUAUUUUUUUUGCAAUGAGCCUACAUUAUAAGCCAAUUAUCAUAUUUUUAAAGGUAUCCUAAAUUUGUGCACCUAUCUUAACUAAAGUUGUCUUAGGAAUCAACAUUUGAGAAAAUUUUCAUAAAGAUGUAUGUGCUCAUGUUUAAAAAAAAAAACAAAGAAAAGUUCGCUCAGUCUCAAAA
rnacentral:lncRNA from 1 species